GACGAACGCUGGCGGCGUGCUUAACACAUGCAAGUCGAGCGGAGCGGCGAACGGGUGAGUAACGCGUGAGUAACUGCCCCCCUCUCUGGGAUAACAGUUGGAAACGGCUGCUAAUACCGGAUAGUGGGGGAUGACUCGGUGCCUAUCUGCUUGUUGGGGGGGUAGUGGCCUACCAAGGGGACGACGGGUAGCCGGCCUGGGGGGGGGACCGGCCACAUUGGGCUGAGAUACGGCCCAAACUCCUACGUGGGGCAGCGGGGGGGAAUAUUGCACAAUGGGGGAGACCGUGAUGCAGCAGCGCCGCGUGCGGGAUGACGGCCUUCGGGUUGUAAACCGCUUUCAGCCAUGACGCGGUAGUGUCAGAAGAAGCACCGGCUAACUACGUGCCAGCAGCCGCGGUAAUAC
rnacentral:rRNA from 1 species